rnacentral:hammerhead_ribozyme from 1 species
AUCCAGCUGACGAGUGCUAAAUAGAACGAACCCCACGUCCUGGAU